rnacentral:rRNA from 1 species
GAUGAACGCUGGCGGAAUGCCUAAUACAUGCAAGUCGAGCGGCAGCGCGAGUAGUUUACUACUUGGCGGCGAGCGGCGGACGGCUGAGUAACGCGGGGGAACGUACCCCAAAGUGAGGGAUAAGCUCGAGAAAUCGAGUCUAAUACCGCAUAUGAUCUUCGGAUUAAAGGAUUUAUCCGCUUUGGGAGCGGCCCGCGUACAAUUAGAUAGUUGGUGAGGUAAAGGCUCACCAAGUCAACGAUCGUUAACUGGUCUGAGAGGACAACCAGUCAAACCGGAACUGGGACACGGUCCAAACUCCUACGGGAGGCAGCAGUAAGGAAUCUUCCACAAUGGACGAAAGUCUGAUGGAGCAAUUCCGCGUGCAGGAUGAAGGCCCUCGGGUUGUAAACUGCUUUUAUUUGUGAAGAAUAUGACGGUAACAAAUGAAUAAGGGUCGGCUAACUACGUG